UGCCGCCGCCGCGGUAAUACGGAGGGUGCAAGCGUUGUCCGGAAUCACUGGGCGCAAAGGGUGCGCAGGCGGGGCAGCAAGUCGGAGGUGAAAGCCCGUGGCUCAACCACGGAAGUGCCUUCGAAACUGUUGCUCUUGAGUCCCGGAGAGGUUGCCGGAAUUCGUGGUGUAGCGGUGAAAUGCGUAGAUAUCACGAGGAGCACCAGAGGCGAAAGCGGGCAACUGGACGGGUACUGACGCCCAGGCACGAAAGCGCGGGGAGCAAACAGGAUUAGAUACCCGGGUAGUCC
rnacentral:rRNA from 1 species